GGAUUAGAUACCCUGGUAGUCCACGCCGUAAACGAUGGAUACUAGCUGUUCGUUUCACAAUGGUGAGAUGAGUGGCUAAGCGAAAGUGAUAAGUAUCCCACCUGGGGAGUACGUUCGCAAGAAUGAAACUCAAAGGAAUUGACGGGGGCCCGCACAAGCGGUGGAGCAUGUGGUUUAAUUCGAUGAUACGCGAGGAACCUUACCAAGGCUUAAAUGAAGAUUGACAGAUUUGGAGACAGAUUUUUCUUCGGACAAUUUUCAAGGUGCUGCAUGGUUGUCGUCAGCUCGUGCCG
rnacentral:rRNA from 1 species